rnacentral:rRNA from 1 species
GACGAACGCUGGCGGCGUGCUUAACACAUGCAAGUCGAACGAAGAGCGAUGGAAGCUUGCUUCUAUCAAUCUUAGUGGCGAACGGGUGAGUAACGCGUAAUCAACCUGCCCUUCAGAGGGGGACAACAGUUGGAAACGACUGCUAAUACCGCAUACGAUCUAAUCUCGGCAUCGAGGAUAGAUGAAAGGUGGCCUCUACAUGUAAGCUAUCACUGAAGGAGGGGAUUGCGUCUGAUUAGCUAGUUGGAGGGGUAAGGGCCCACCAAGGGGAUGAUCAGUAGCCGGUCUGAGAGGAUGAACGGCCACAUUGGGACUGAGACACGGCCCAGACUCCUACGGGAGGCAGCAGUGGGGAAUCUUCCGCAAUGGACGAAAGUCUGACGGAGCAACGCCGCGUGAGUGAUGACGGCCUUCGGGUUGUAAAGCUCUGUUAAUCGGGACGAAAGGCCUUCUUGCGAAUAGUGAGAAGGAUUGACGGUACCGGAAUAGAAAGCCACGGCUAACUACGUG